UGGGGAAUUUUGGACAAUGGGCGCAAGCCUGAUCCAGCCAUGCCGCGUGCAGGAUGAAGGCCUUCGGGUUGUAAACCGCUUUUGCACGGAACGAAAAGACUCCUUCUAAUAAAGGGGGUCCAUGACGGUACCGUAAGAAUAAGCACCGGCUAACUACGUGCCAGCAGCCGCGGUAAUACGUAGGGUGCGAGCGUUAAUCGGAAUUACUGGGCGUAAAGCGUGCGCAGGCGGUUUUGUAAGACAGAGGUGAAAUCCCCGGGCUCAACCUGGGAAUUGCCUUUGUGACUGCAAGGCUUGAGUGCGGCAGAGGGGGAUGGAAUUCCGCGUGUAGCAGUGAAAUGCGUAGAUAUGCGGAGGAACACCGAUGGCGAAGGCAAUCCCCUGGGCCUGCACUGACGCUCAUGCACGAAAGCGUGGGGAGCAAACA
rnacentral:rRNA from 1 species